CAACCUUUAACAAUGGAUCUCUUGGCUCCUGCAACGAUAAAACGCAGCGAACUGCGAUACGUAGUGUGAAUCGCAUAUGUCCGUGAAUCAUCGAAUCUUUGAACGCAAAAUGCACCUCUUGGUUCUCCGAGAGGUAUGUCUGUUUGAGUAUCAUUU
rnacentral:rRNA from 1 species